rnacentral:rRNA from 1 species
AGUGAACGCUGGCGGUAGGCUUAACACAUGCAAGUCGAACGGCAGCACAGUAAGAGCUUGCUCUUACGGGUGGCGAGUGGCGGACGGGUGAGGAAUACAUCGGAAUCUACUUUUUCGUGGGGGAUAACGUAGGGAAACUUACGCUAAUACCGCAUACGACCUACGGGGGAAAGCAGGGGAUCUUCGGACCUUGCGCGAUUGAAUGAGCCGAUGUCGGAUUAGCUAGUUGGCGGGGUAAAGGCCCACCAAGGCGACGAUCCGUAGCUGGUCUGAGAGGAUGAUCAGCCACACUGGAACUGGGACACGGUCCAGACUCCUACGGGAGGCAGCAGUGGGGAAUGUUGGACAAAGGGCGCAAGCCUGAUCCAGCCAUCCCGCGUGGGUGAAGAAGGCCUUCGGGUUGUAAAGCCCUUUUGUUGGGAAAGAAAAGCAGCAGGUUAAUACCCCGCUGUUCUGACGGUACCCAAAGAAUAAGCACCGGCUAACUUCGUG